UCCCUCGUGGCUCAGUUGAUAAAGAAUCUGCUUGGAGUGCAGGAGACCCAGGUUUGAUCCCUGGCUCAGGAA
rnacentral:tRNA from 1 species